rnacentral:lncRNA from 1 species
UUGCCUAAGCGCGAGGACUGAUAAGGAAAAUAAAAAGAAAGGGGUUUCCUAAGCAAUAGGAAUGAUAAGGCAAAUAAGAGAUAAAUGUUUGUCUAAGCAUAAGCUCUAACAAGACAAACAAGGUAGAUAGAGGUUUGUCUAAGCACAAGGUGUGACAAGACAGACAAAUGCAUGAAGGAAGAGUUUGACUAAGCACAAGGUCUUUCAAGGAAAAAGAGAGAAAAUGGGUUGUCU